GUUUCCAUUUCCAAAGCACCCGAGGGAGGCACUUACAGACAUCCAGACCCAGCAACAUCCACGUGGUUGUGCUGAGCAAAGGAAAGCCCAAGGUGCUGAACGAUUACAUAGACAUCUGGGACCAAUGAAGAGAUCAAUUAAGGGAGGAAUGACCUCUUCACUACGCUGAGUCUUCCAAUCCACGCAUAUGGCCUUCCAGUUGAGGGGGCUUAGGAUGAUGGAUACCCAGUACCCACCCCCAGAGUCACCAGCUUCCUCCAGAUCACUGCAUCCUGGUUUCCCAUGUUCUGCUGGCAGCCGCCC